ACCUAUAGUAAUUGCAGAUUUUACAGUUGAAAUGUCAGAAACUGUACAUUAAAAAUUCUAGUUACAAAUAUGGAAAUUUUGCAUGUAAAGUUUUAAAAAAUGCUGUCCCGAGUGCAACCAAAGUGUUUGAAUUAACAUUGCUAUUUGAAUCCUUCAGUGUUUCCUGAAUUUCAUGUUCAGAGAUUAAUUCUUAGGAUUGUCUUUGCAAAUACUGUUGCGCUGCUUUAAAGAGGAGGUGGUUAUUUUAUAAUAUUAUAAUAUUUCUAUUCUAUUUUAAAAUAUUAUAGAGCAUGGCCAGAUGAUGUAUAUUAUUUUAAAGGUGUAUGUUUAUAAGGGUUAACAGUAUCAAAGCAUUAAGCUGUCAUUUUAUAAACUGUCUCUUAUUUUGGUACAGAGUCCAGUUAAAUUCACUUGAAGUUUAAACAUCAGUGUCCUCAAGAUUGCUGCAUGCAAAAGCUCUCUAAGCCAAGAUCUUACCACUUCUGAAAGAUGUUGCAUUAUAAUACCAAGAUGUAGGAAAUUAUCAUUCAUCUACUGGGCCCUCCAAGCACUGAUAUUUAUAGUUUCUCCUGGUGCUGACUUCAUGGCAGCCCUUCUUAAGUUUGUUGAUGAUCAGGAACUGCCAGCUGAUGCUCCUCACUGCCACUGGGGAAUGCAGUUAUGGUGCCAGAGGCACUGAGAACUGGGAUUGGCUCUGAAAGUGUUCUGAAGAUGUUAUUUUCCUCGGAAAUAGUUACAAAUGUCAAUUAUAUACUUGAUCCAAGUGAUGUUUAUUUUGCCUCUCCUCAGGGAGAUGUAAGUAUUUCAGAACAACAGAACUACCUAGAGCUAUUUUUAUUUUUUUUUUAAUAGAUGUAUCUUUACUGAAACUGAUGUGUCUCAGUGUUUACUCAGUCACUGUUUGCUUUGGUGGCUUAAUCUCAGCUUCUAUCAGGCCUUGUUUCAGUGACUUCUGAGAAAGGGACAUUAUGUAAACACCACCCAAUUACUGUCAUUAAAUUGACUCUGCUCUGUGUGAGUCAGCACUCGGGGGACAGCAAGUGAGAAACACAACCUAGUGAAGUUAAAGGCAUUUUAAAAUAGGCAUACGAGAAAUUAUCUAUUAUAUCUUCUGGAGGCAGAAAGGCCACAAUAAUCAGCUUAAUUUAUCACACAGGAGUUGUAUCAGUCACAGCAAAACACCUUCAGGCACUUGGCAGGCAGUGGGCUUGGUGGGGGGCCACAGCCCCUUGCACUUGGUAUCUAAUUUUAACAGAAUUUUUGUCAGCUCCCAGAUUUUUUCAGAAAUUUAUAUCUUAGUUCACACACUUUAUUCAUCACUCUAGGAAAGCCUGUAGUGGUUUUGAAGUACAGCUUGUGGCCUCUUGUGAGCUACUUGGCUGCUUCUGCAUCUUCUUUCCAGUCUAGAGGUAUUAUUUUUCCCCCACCCUUUCUCCAUACCAAAGCUGUUCUGAAUAUACAAAGACACUUGCACAGAAUCCUUUCCCAGAGGUCUUUGGCAUGACUGAAAAUGCUGUUAGUACCAAGGAUCAGUCAGGAACACAACUGCUAUUUGACAGCAUUCUUACACAAAGCGACACACCACCUUACCCUAACCUUCUACUGGAUAUCCAUGUUUGUAUGUUCACAUUCCCUCCUGAGUUUUUACUGUACUUCAAUGGAGUUGUACCUCCACUCUGGUGAAAUUACUUUUCCACUUAAGAGUAUUUCAAGGCUUUCUUCUGGGUUUGUAUUUUUUCUGUCUUCUUGAACGAAAUGUUUUGUGACUGUAGUCAGUUUAUGUAUCUCCCACUUCCUCCAGCUUUUAACAAUUUUCAACUCCCUGGCCAGUUCUAGUCCAGUUUGUAAGCCAGGUACAGUCUGGUGUUACCAUGGUUCAGGAGAAAGAAAAAAAGACAUCUGUAGGCAACUGGAUUUUGUUAGGUCUAAGCUAGUAACUUUUACUGCAGUAAUAGAGGGGAUUCUGCUGCUUUAGAGAAAGCACAUGCAGCAAUGCCACCAAUGUGAAAAAAGAAUAGUGAGGAUGGUUUUACAGUUAGUAAAACUCAGAAGUGCUCUGGGCAGAUCAUGUUUCUGAAGCAGAGGAAUGAGAAUUUCCUAGGGUGGGCAGCUCUCUCCAGAAGAGGCUAUGAACCCUUUCCCUGAGCAGUCCAAUGACUACAGGAUCAGGCAGAAGAUCACAGUAACUUUCCAUGGAAUCACCCAAUCCACUAUUCUUGUCUUCAGUGUUGUUCCUACCUGACAACCUAGAAGUUUGUAACAUCUUCAGUUGGACAGAGCAUUUAUGUUGGUUUUCAAUUGUUAAACAACCCUGUCAGAAUUUUUUUUAAGAGCUUGAUGUCUGCUGAACUAAAAGGAAUACUGAAACACAAAAUUAAUCAACCCUUAAAGAACUCAACAAAAAUAUCUGCUCCUUGAAUAAUUUUUUUUUAUUUUUUGAAGGCUCCUUAUGUAUAAGGAACAUACAUAAAAUGAACACAACACUGUUGACAAUGAACAAAACAGCAUUUGAUAAUUUCCAGCUUUAUAAAAUUUUUAAAAAAUGAUUUAGUUAUAACAAAAAAAAAAACAAUAGCUCAGCAAGUUAUCUUAUUGGACCAUUAUCACAUUUUAAA